CCGCGGUAAUUCCAGCUCCAGUAGUGUAUUUUAAAGUUGCUGCGUUUAAAACGCUCGUAGUUGGAUUACGCAGUGCAAGUUAGUAGAUUGGCGCAGUAGUACAUUAAAUCUGGUCAGUUCUUCAUGUUCUGUGGUUAAACCCGGAAUACUGAGGGGCUGGUCAGAGUGCUACGUGUCGAUUAUAAGCUAACUUGUACUACUUACGCGUGAGGAUGGUAGUUGAUCUUUAGUGUAUCGACUAUUGUGUCUCACGGAGUGUGCCUUGAAUAAAUCAGAGUGCUUAAUACAGGCUUUUGCUUGAAUGUUAAUAGCAUGGAACGAACAAUUGUGUUUAUGCGUGCUAUAAAAGUGCCUUGGUGGAUUCAUAUUUAUCUUUGCAUUUUUAUAGUACGCUGCACCAACCGCCAAUACAGGAUGUUGGUUUCCGUAUUGGGGUGAUGAUUAAAAGGAGCGGUUGGGGGCAUUAGUAUUCUGGGCGAGGGGUGAAAUUCUUAGACCAAACCCAGCUUU
rnacentral:rRNA from 1 species